rnacentral:rRNA from 1 species
UACGAGGGGGGCAAGCGUUGUUCGGAAUUAUUGGGCGUAAAGGGCGCGUAGGCGGUGCGGUAAGUCACCUGUGAAAACUCUGGGCUCAACUCAGAGCCUGCAGGCGAAACUGCGGGGCUAGAGUGCAGAAGGGGCAACUGGAAUUCUCGGUGUAGCGGUGAAAUGCGUAGAUAUCGAGAGGAACACCUGCGGCGAAGGCGGGUUGCUGGGCUGACACUGACGCUGAACUGCGAAAGCUAGGGGAGCGAACGGG